UACGUAGGGUGCAAGCGUUGUCCGGAAUUAUCGGGCGUAAAGAGCUUGUAGGCGGUUUGUCGCGUCUGCUGUGAAAUUUCGGGGCUCAACCCCGAACUUGCAGUGGGUACGGGCAGACUAGAGUGUGGUAGGGGAGACUGGAAUUCCUGGUGUAGCGGUGAAAUGCGCAGAUAUCAGGAGGAACACCGGUGGCGAAGGCGGGUCUCUGGGCCGAUACUGACGCUGAGGCACGAAGGUCAGGGGAGCAAACGGG
rnacentral:rRNA from 1 species